rnacentral:rRNA from 1 species
GACGAACGCUGGCGGCGUGCUUAACACAUGCAAGUCGAACGAAGAGCGACGGAAGCUUGCUUCUAUCAAUCUUAGUGGCGAACGGGUGAGUAACGCGUAAUCAACCUGCCCUUCAGAGGGGGACAACAGUUGGAAACGACUGCUAAUACCGCAUACGAUCUAAUCUCGGCAUCGAGGAUAGAUGAAAGGUGGCCUCUACAUGUAAGCUAUCACUGAAGGAGGGGAUUGCGUCUGAUUAGCUAGUUGGAGGGGUAACGGCCCACCAAGGCGAUGAUCAGUAGCCGGUCUGAGAGGAUGAACGGCCACAUUGGGACUGAGACACGGCCCAGACUCCUACGGGAGGCAGCAGUGGGGAAUCUUCCGCAAUGGACGAAAGUCUGACGGAGCAACGCCGCGUGAGUGAUGACGGCCUUCGGGUUGUAAAGCUCUGUUAAUCGGGACGAAAGGCCUUCUUGCGAAUAGUGAGAAGGAUUGACGGUACCGGAAUA